rfam:Dialister sp. CAG:357 genomic scaffold, scf13
GCAUCACAGGUCUGUGGCUGAAAAUCGAUGGCAGUCGCAGCCAAAACGAUCCACGUAACGCAGAAAAAAUUUCUGCUGAGCAUGGUGCGGUUUAGAAGUAAGUCCUGCCGGUAAACCGAGAGGGUUAGUAGUGAGAGUGAGAGGGAACACCGGGUAGCGAAAGCUCCAGCAGGCGAGUGUGGGGUCAAAAGCCAGGUCAGCUGUGGAUGC